ACUAAGUUCUGUGCUGUUUUAAAAAAUUAAUUGAAACAAAUGGAAUGUAUUUCAACAGAAAGCAAUAAUUUUCAAAAGUUUACAGUAGUUGCUUGACCUGCUAGAAAGAGAAGCCGAAAUAUGCCUCAAACUCACAUCCUACUAUCGAUCUU